rnacentral:rRNA from 1 species
UACGGAGGGGGCAAGCGUUAUUCGGAAUUAUUGGGCGUAAAGGGCGCGUAGGCGGCUAGAUGUGUCAAAGGUGAAAUCCCUCGGCUCAACUGAGGAACUGCCUUUGAAGCUGUCUGGCUUGAGGCCGGGAGAGGGUAGCGGAAUUCCCAGUGUAGCGGUGAAAUGCGUAGAUAUUGGGAGGAACACCAGUGGCGAAGGCGGCUACCUGGACCGGUUCUGACGCUGAGGCGCGAAAGCGUGGGUAGCAAACAGG